rnacentral:rRNA from 1 species
UACGAAGGGGGCUAGCGUUGCUCGGAAUGACUGGGCGUAAAGGGCGCGUAGGCGGAUUGUACAGUCAGGCGUGAAAUUCCCGGGCUCAACCUGGGGGCUGCGCUUGAGACGUGCGAUCUUGAGUGGGGAAGAGGGUCGUGGAAUUCCCAGUGUAGAGGUGAAAUUCGUAGAUAUUGGGAAGAACACCGGUGGCGAAGGCGGCGACCUGGUCCUUGACUGACGCUGAGCGCGAAAGCGUGGGGAGUAAACAGG